rnacentral:rRNA from 1 species
GUGGGGAAUCUUGCGCAAUGGGCGAAAGCCUGACGCAGCCAUGCCGCGUGAAUGAUGAAGGUCUUAGGAUUGUAAAAUUCUUUCACCGGGGACGAUAAUGACGGUACCCGGAGAAGAAGCUCCGGCUAACUUCGUGCCAGCAGCCGCGGUAAUACGAAGGGGGCUAGCGUUGCUCGGAAUUACUGGGCGUAAAGGGCGCGUAGGCGGACAGCUUAGUCAGAGGUGAAAGCCCAGGGCUCAACCUUGGAAUUGCCUUUGAUACUGGCUGUCUUGAGUUUGGGAGAGGUGAGUGGAACUCCGAGUGUAGAGGUGAAAUUCGUAGAUAUUCGGAGGAACACCAGUGGCGAAGGCGGCUUACUGGUCCAUUACUGACGCUGAGGUGCGAAAGCGUGGGGAGCAAACAGGAUUAGAAACCCCGGUAGUCC